rnacentral:tRNA from 1 species
GCCCGGGUGGCUCAGUUGGUUGAGCGUCCGACUUUGGCUCAGGUCAUGAUCUCAUGGUUCGUGGGUUCGAGCCCCACGUCGGACU